rnacentral:rRNA from 1 species
AGACUAAUCACCAACCACUUACCACCAAAUAGUGGCGGACGGGUGAGUAACGCGUGGAUAAUCUGCCUGUAAGACAGGGAUAACGCCGGGAAACCGGUGCUAAUACCCGAUAACCUCUUUGAAUCGCAUGGUUUGAAGAGAAAAAGGUGGCCUCUUUACAAUGAAUCCGCGUCCCAUUAGCCAGUUGGUGGGGUAAAGGCCUACCAAAGCGACGAUGGGUAGCCGGCCUGAGAGGGUGACCGGCCACACUGGAACUGAGAUACGGUCCAGACUCCUACGGGAGGCAGCAGUGGGGAAUCUUCCGCAAUGGGCGAAAGCCUGACGGAGCAACGCCGCGUGAGCGAAGAAGGUCUUCGGAUUGUAAAGCUCUGUCCUUAGUGAAGAAAAAAAUGACGGUACCCAAGUAGGAAGCCCCGGCUAACUACGUGCCAGCAGCCGCGGUAAUACGUAGGGGGCAAGCGUUAUCCGGAAUUACUGGGUGUAAAGGGUGCGUAGGCGGUAAUGUAAGUCAGAUGUGAAAACUCCGGGCUCAACUUGGAGACUGCUUCUGAAACUGGUAGACUUGAGUGCAAGAGAGGGAAGUGGAAUUCCUAGUGUAGCGGUGAAAUGCGUAGAUAUUAGGAGGAACACCAGUGGCGAAGGCGACUUCCUGGCUUGUAACUGACACUGAGGCGCGAAAGCGUGGGGAUCAAACAGGAUUAGAUACCCUGGUAGUCCACGCCGUAAACGAUGAGUGCUAGGUGUCGGGGGUAUCGACCCCCUCGGUGGCAGUUAACGCAAUAAGCACUCCGCCUGGGGAGUACGGUCGCAAGACUGAAACUCAAAGGAAUUGACGGGGGCCCGCACAAGCGGUGGAGUAUGUGGUUUAAUUCGACGCAACGCGAAGAACCUUACCAAGGCUUGACAUCCCGUGACAGCCAUAGAAAUAUGGACUUAUAGGUUUAACAUCUAUACACGGAGACAGGUGGUGCAUCAGCUCGUGUCGUGAGAUGUUGGGUUAAGUCCCGCAACGAGCGCAACCCCUACAGCCAGUUGCCAGCACAUAAAGGUGGGAACUCUGGCAGAACUGCCGUUGACAAAACGGAGGAAGGUGGGGAUGACGUCAAAUCAUCAUGCCCCUUAUGUCUUGGGCUACACACGUACUACAAUGGCCGGUACAAAGGGCUGCGAAACCGUAAGGUGAAGCGAAUCCCAUAAAGCCGGUCUCAGUCCGGAUCGUGGGCUGCAACCCGCCCACGUGAAGCCGGAGUUGCUAGUAAUCGCGAAUCAGCAUGUCGCGGUGUAUGCGUUCCCGGGUCUUGUACACACCGCCCG